rnacentral:tRNA from 1 species
GUGACUGUGGCUUAGUGGCAGAGCACACAAUUUGUGCAAGGCCCUGGGUUCUAUUCCUAGCACACACA